rnacentral:misc_RNA from 1 species
CCAAACUUGGUCAUUUAGAGGAAGUAAAAGUCGUAACAAGGUUUCCGUAGGUGAACCUGCGGAAGGAUCAUUAACAAAUCUACACCUUACUACUAUACCUGUGCAAACGUUCGCGUCGCUGGGGCCAGGCCGUGAAGGGCCAGGGUGCCAGCGAUCGCACCUCUACACACUCUGGUUGUUGGAUGUAACACAUACAUAAUGAUCGACAACUUUUAACAAUGGAUCUCUUGGCUCUUGCAUCGAUGAAGAACGCAGC